rnacentral:lncRNA from 1 species
AUCUUAAAGUCAGUAAAUUGCAGAUGUAAGAUUCAAAACCAGACUUCACAUCUACCGACUUCAGUGACCCUGAAAUUUGUUCACAGAGAGCAUUUAACAUAACUGUCUUCAUCAUCUCCUUCUCUACAUUAAAAAUUAUGGAGGCCUUACAAACUGGUAGAAGAUGCAUAACAGAAGAGCUUAUGAAGUUAAAGAUGACAGCAUAGCAGCACUGUUCACAAAGACGUUAUUGGUGAUUCAAUCUUGAGUCAUGAAAAGUCAACCUUGAGCCACAAAAAGUCAACCUUGAGCCAAGCAGAUUGGAGAGUCAUACAUGCCAUUCCUGGGACCAUCAAAAAUGGCAGAGGUCACACAAAAAGGCAAAACUUUUAAGAGGUGUUUUAAACGUCGUAUGGGCCAAAGAGAAGCUGGAUUUCCUAUUGGAGUCACCUGUAACACACGUGUGACGAAAUUGGCCUGUGAGGACAAGGCAGUGAGCAGAGAGGACAGCAGUCCUUAUGAGAUCAAGCUCUAAG